GGAAUACUUGUUUGGACAAGUUUGGAAGGCUGGAAAGGUCAUCUGGAAGGAAAAACCACUGUGGGAAUAUCAUCAUUAUUUAUCAAUGAGACCUUUCAUAACACUGAAUAUUUUUA
rnacentral:lncRNA from 1 species